GGCAGUGACAACUGCCGGUGAGGAGGUGGAGCAGGUCAACAGCUAUCUGUCCCGUUGCGCCCUCACAACAAAAUACAUGUCUAAAGCAGCACGGGUGGACAUGCUUACAUUGCAUGCAGUGGGGUGGAACCACAAGAAAAAUGGCGCUCUACAUCAGGCCCUUUCCACAAGAUAUGUGAAGACCUGUCAGAGACUCAUUGAUGAGACUGCAAGGCUAGCUGAACUGCAAACACAGCUACAGUGCUCAGAUGAGACAGUGUCACAGUGGACCUCAGAUGUGAAGGAAUGGGCAGCUGAUG